AGGAGUCUGAGAAGGGCUGGUCAAGGAGGUAUGAAGAAAACCACUACAGAGUGGAGACCAGGGAGCAUGUUUCAAGAACAGAGAAAACAGACAACCACAUUAAAUGCUACUGAGAACCCAAUUAAGAUGAAGUCAGAGAAGUGUUCAAAUAAUUAACAAGUCCAGGGCCCAGCAGACUGAAACAAAAGGUGUGAAGUUCUUCUCAUCCAUCUUAAUGGGGUGUUAAUGACUGUAGAGGAUGACUGUGACCAUUUAAAUUUCUGUGGAAAUGCAGCUGCCAUUUAACCAGUGCCUGUUACUUCAUGCUCUGCAUACGUGCUUUCGGGUAUUAUCUCCAAUCCUUCCAAAAAUCUCCAAAGGAAUGUUGCGACUCUCCUUUUACAGCAGGAAAACUAGGAAAAUGAGCCUCAGAGAGGUUGAACAACUUCCUCACAGUUACCCAGCCAGGAUUCAAAACUAUGUAAGCCCAAGUCUGUACUCUCUUUGCCACUCUGAUUAUUCACUGUGUAAAAAUUAAUUUUAAAAUGUAUUCUUACUUCUCUAAAAUCUGAAAAUAACAUUAUCUAGAGUACCACAGGACUAUUAUUAUUUUUUUAAUUCCUGUUAUUUAUUUACCCGUAUGUAAGUCUCAGGCAGUUUCACACGAAAAGACUAAAUGCACUUAUAGCCUGCACUUUAUAUUUAUCCAAUCUUAAGUUGUUCUGUAGGUGGAGAUUUAGAGUAGAGCCACGCACAAAGAAUCCCGUGCCCCUCUCCUUGCUGCCUCUGCUUCCCCCAGCCUGUUGCACUGAACAGAGGCUGC